rnacentral:rRNA from 1 species
GACGAACGCUGGCGGCGUGCUUAACACAUGCAAGUCGAACGGAAAGGCCCUGCUUUUGUGGGGUGCUCGAGUGGCGAACGGGUGAGUAACACGUGAGUAACCUGCCCUUGACUUUGGGAUAACUUCAGGAAACUGGGGCUAAUCCCGGAUAGGAGCUCCUGCUGCAUGGUGGGGGUUGGAAAGUUUCGGCGGUUGGGGAUGGACUCGCGGCUUAUCAGCUUGUUGGUGGGGUAGUGGCUUACCAAGGCUUUGACGGGUAGCCGGCCUGAGAGGGUGACCGGCCACAUUGGGACUGCGAUACGGCGCAGACUCCUACGGGAGGCAGCAGUGGGGAAUAUUGCACAAUGGGCGGAAGCCUGAUGCAGCAACGCCGCGUGCGGGAUGACGGCCUUCGGGUUAUAAACCGCUUUCGCCUGUUACGAAGCGUGAGUGACGGUACUGGGUAAAGAAGCACCGGCUAACUACGUG